rnacentral:rRNA from 1 species
ACCCCCGGGAAACUGGGGCUAAUACCGGAUGAGACCACGGCGUCUUCGGGCGCUGCGGUCAAAGAUGGCCUCUCCUUGGAAGCUAUCGCCCAUAGAUGAGCCCGCGUCCCAUUAGCUAGUUGGCGGGGUAACGGCCCACCAAGGCAACGAUGGGUAGCUGGUCUGAGAGGAUGAUCAGCCACACUGGAACUGAGACACGGUCCAGACUCCUACGGGAGGCAGCAGUCGGGAAUUUUGGGCAAUGGGCGAAAGCCUGACCCAGCAACGCCGCGUGAGGGAUGAAGGCCUUCGGGUCGUAAACCUCUGUCGGGAGGGACGAAAGGUCGACGAGCGAAUAGGUCGGCGGCUUGACGGUACCUCCAAAGGAAGCGCCGGCUAACUCCGUGCCAGCAGCCGCGGUAA